ensembl:lncRNA
GUAGCAACACAUGACAACAUAGCAAUGUAGCAACACAUGACAACACAGCAAUGUAGCAACACAUGACAACACAGCAAUGUAGCAACACAUGACAACAUAGCAAUGUAGCAACACAUGACAACACAGCAAUGUAGCAACACAUGACAACACAGCAAUGUAGCAACACAUGACAACACAGCAAUGUAGCAACACAUGACAACAUAGCAUGGUAGCAACACAUGACAACAUAGCAAUGUAGCAACACAUGACAACACAGCAAUGUAGCAACACAUGACAACACAGCAUGGUAGCAACACAUGACAACACAGCAUGGUAGCAACACAUGACAACACAGCAUGGUAGCAACACAUGACAACACAGCAUGGUAGCAACACAUGACAACAUAGCAAGGUAGCAACACAGCAUGGUAGCAACACAACAUGGUAGCAGCACAAAACAUGGUACAAACAUUAUUGGGCACAGACAACAGCACAAAGGGCAAGAAGGUAGAGACAACAAUACAUCUCACAAAGCAGCCACAACUGUCGGUAAGAGUGUCCAUGAUUUUGUCUUUGAAUGAAGAGAUUGUGAUAAAACUGUCCAGUUUGAGUGUUUGGUGCAGCUCGUGAGGCCUAAGAGGAUUUUCUAAAUAAACAUCAACCAGUGGGUCUUGCGACAGGCAUACAGAGAUGACCAGUUUACAGAGGAGUAUAGAGUGCAGUGAUGUGUCCUUUAUAAGGAGCACUGGUGGCAAAUCUGAUGGUCGAAUGGUAAAGAACAUCUAGCCGCUCGAGAGCAUCCUUACCUGCUGAUCUAUAAAUUAUGUCUCCAUAAUCUAGCUUGCGUAGGAUGGUCAUCUGAAUCAGGGUUAGUUUGGCAGCUGGGGUGAAAGAGGAGCGAUUAUGAUAGAGGAAUCCACAUCUAGAUUUAACUUUAGCCUGCAGCUUUGAUAUGUGCUGAGAGAAGGACAGUGUACCGUCUAGCCAUACUCCCAAGUACUUGUAUGAGGUGACUACCUCAAGCUCUAAACCCUCAGAGGUAGUAAUCACACCAGUGGGGAGAGGGGCAUUCUUCUUACCAAACCACAUUACCUUUGUUUUGGAGGUGUUCAGAAGAAGGUUAAGGGCAGAGAAAGCUUGUUGGAUACUAAGAAAGCUUUGUUGUAGAGCAUUUAACACAAAUUUUGGGGAGCGGCCAGCUGAGUAUAAGACUGUAUCAUAUGCAUAUAAAUACAUGCGAGAGCUCCCUGCUGCCUGAGCUAUGUUGUUGAUGUAAAUUGAGAACAGCAUGGGGCCUAGGAUCAAGCCUUGGGGUACUCCCUUGGUGACAGGCAGUGGCUGAGACAGCAGAUUGUCUGAAUUUAUACACUGCACUCUUUGAGAGAGGUAGUUAGCAAAGCAGGCCAAAGACCCCUCAGAGAGACCAAUACUGCUUAGCUGGCCCACAAUAAUGGAAUGGUCUACCGUAUCAAAAGCUUUAGCCAAGUCAAUACAAAUAGCAGCACAACAUUGCUUAGAAUCAAGGGCAAUGAUGACAUAAUUGAGGACCUUUAAGGUUGCAGUGACACAUCCAUAACCUGAGCGGAAACCAGAUUUUAUACCAGAGAGAAUACUAUAGACAUCAAGAAAGCCAGUCAGUUGAUUAUUGACAGGUUUUUCAAACACUUUUGAUAAACCAGGGCAAAGUAGAAAUAACCUAUAACAGUUUGGAUCAGGUUGAUCUACCCCUUUUAAAUAAAGGACGAACCGUGGCUGCCUUCCAAGCAAUGGGCACCUCCCCUGAGAGGGUUAAAGGUUAGAGAAAGGCUUGGCGAUGAUAGGUGCAGCAAUCUUAAAGAAGAAAGGGUCUAAACCAUCUGACCCAGAUGUUUUUUGGGGGGGUUCAAGUUUCAGGAGCUCCUUUUGCACCUUGGACUCAGUGACUGCCUGCAGGGGGAAACUUUGUAGCGGGGCAGGGCUAAAAAGUGGGAGGAGCAUCAGGGAUAGUCCCAUUACAAGGGGUGGGAGAUGAGGAAAUGUUGGACGGGCAAGGAGGCAUGGCUGAGUCAAAUAGGAAUCCUGACUUACUUGAAGUGGUGAUGAAAGAGCUCAGCCAUGUGCUUAUUGUCAAUAACAACUGCAUCAUCAACAUUAAGGGACAUGGCUGUGAGGAAGAGGGUUUAUUCUCCAGGUAUUUAACCUUUUUCAAAUCAAAUUUAUUUAUAUAGCCCUUCGUACAUCAGCUGAUAUCUCAAAGUGCUGUACAGAAACCCAGCCUAAAACCCCAAACAGUAAACAAUGCAGGUGUAGAAACACGGUGGCUAGGAAGAACUCCCUAGAAAGGCCAAAACCAAGGAAGAAACCUAGAGAGGAACCAGGCUAUGAGGGGUGGCCAGUCCUCUUCUGGCUGUGCCAGGUGGAGAUUAUAACAGAACAUGGCCAAGAUGUUCAAAUGUUCAUAAAUGACCAGCAUGGUCAAAUAAUAAUAAUCACAGUAGUUGUUGAGGGUGCAGCAAGCCAGCACCUCAGGAGUAAAUGUCAGUUGGCUUUUCAUAGCCGAUCAUUAAGAGUAUAUCUACCACUCCUGCUGUCUCUAGAGAGUUGAAAACAACAGGUCUGGGACAGGUAGCAAGUCCGGUGAACAGGUCAGGAUUCCAUAGCCGCAGGCAAAACAGUUGAAACUGGAGCAGCAGCACGGCCAGGUGGCCUGGGGACAGCAAGGAGUCAUCAUGCCAGGUAGUCCUGAGGCAUGGUCCUAGCACUCAGGUCCUCCGAGAGAGAGAAAGAAAGAGAGAAAGAGAGAAUUAGAGAGAGCAUACUUAAAUUCACACAGGACACCGGAUAAGACAGGAGAAGUACUCCAGAUAUAACAAACUGACCCGAGUCCCCCGACACAUAAACUACUGCAGCAUAAAUACUAGAGGCUGAGACAGGAGGGGUCAGGAGACACUGUGGCCCCAUCCAAUGAUACCCCCGGACAGGGCCAAACAGGAAGGAUAUAACCCCACCCACUUUGCCAAAGCACAGCCCCCACACCACUAGAGGGAUUUAUUCAACCACCAACUUACCAUCCUGAGACAAGGCCGAGUAUAGCCCACAAAGAUCUCUGCCACGGCACAACCCAAGGGGGGGGCGCCAACCCAGACAGGAAGAUCACGUCAGUGACUCAACCCUCUCAAGUGACGCACCCUUCCUAGAGACGACAUGAAAGAGCACCAGUAAGCCAGUGACUCAGCCCCUGUAAUAGGGUUAGAGGCAGAGAUUCCCAGUGGAGAGAGGGGAACCGGCCAGGCAGAGACAGCAAGGGCGGUUCGUUGCUCCAGAGCCUUUCCGUUCACCUUCACACUCCUGGGCCAGACUACACUCAGUCAUAUGACCCACUGAAGAGAUGAGUCUUCAGUAAAGACUAAUAGGUUGAGACCGAGUCUGCGUCUCUCACAUGGGAAUGCAGACCAUUCCAUAAAAUGGAGCUCUAUAGGAGAAAGCCAUGCCUCCAGCUGUUUGCUUAGAAAUUCUAGGGACAAUUAGGAGGCCUGCGUCUUGUGACCGUAGCGUACGUGUAGGUAUGUACGGCAGGACCAAAUCAGAAAGAUAGGUAGGAGCAAGCCCAUGUAAUGCUUUGUAGGUUAGCAGUAAAACCUUUAAAUCAGCCCUUGCCUUGACAGGAAGCCAGUGUAGGGAGGCUAGCACUGGAGGAAUAUGAUCAAAUUGUUUGGUUCUAGUCAGGAUUCUAGCAGCCGUAUUUAGCACUAACUGAAGUUUAUUUAGUGCUUUAUCUGGGUAGCCGGAAAGUAGAGCAUUGCAGUAGUCUAACCUAGAAGUAACAAAAGCAUGGAUUAAUCUUUCUGCAUCAUUUUUGGACAGAAAGUUUCUGAUUUUUGCAAUGUUAUCCUCUUGAAGCUAGGGGGCACUAUUUUUAUGUUUGGAAAAAUAACGUUCCCAAAUUAAACGGCCUAUUUCUCAGGACCAGAUGCUAGAAUAUGCAUGUAAUUGACAGAUUAGGAUAGAAAACACUCUAAAGUGUCCAAAACUGUCAAAAUAUUGUCUGUGAGUAUAACAGAACUGAUAUUGCAGGUGAAACCCUGAGAAAAAUCAAACUAGGAAGUGGCUUCUAUUUUGAAAACUCCAUGUUCCAUAGCCUCCCAUUGCUCCAUUUAAAGGGAUAUCAACCAGAUUCCUUUUCCUAUCGCUUCCUCAAGGUGUCAACAGUCUUCAGACAUUGUUUCAGGCAUUUAUUUUGAAGAAUGAGCGUGAACGACCACAUUGCGUAAGUGGAUAGGUGGGGGCUCUCAGAGUGAGUUGUGCGCAAAAGAGAAAGGCGGGCAUUGUUACUCCCGGUCCUAGUGAAAAGCCAACUGUCCCGGUUGAUAUAUUAUCUAAUAGAUAUUUGAAAAACAUGAGGAUUUAUUAUAAAAAACAUUUGACAUGUUUAUGUGGACAUUAUGGAUAUAAUUUGGAAUUUUUGUCUGUGUUGUCGUGACCGCUCUUUCCGGUGGAUUCCUGGGCAUAACGCACCAAACUAACAGAGGUAUUUGGAUAUAAAAAAUAUCUUUAUGGAACAAAAGGAACAUUUGUUGUCUAACUGGGAGUCUUGUGAGUAAAAACAUCCAAAGAUCAUCAAAGGUAAAUGAUUAAUUUGAUUGCUUUUCUGAUUUUCGUGACCAAGUUGCCUGAUUCUAAGUGUACUUAUUAUUUUGUCGAGCAAUCGAUAAACUUACACAAACGCAUGUAUUGCUUUCGCUGUAAAGCAUAAUUUCCAAAAUCAGAGACGACAGGUGAAUUAACAAAAGGCUAAGCUGUGUUUUGCAAUAUUGCACUUGUGAUUUCAUGAAUAUUAAUAUUUUCUAGUAAUAUUAUUUGACUGUGGCGCUAUGCUAUUCAGCGUUGCUGAUGACAAUUAUCCAGGAUCCAAUAUGGGUGGUUCAGAGAGGUUAUGUAGAAUGAAAAAAGCUGUCCUUGAAACAGUCUUGAUAUGUUCGUCAAAAGGGAGAUCAAGGUCCAGAGUAACACCGAGGUCCUUCACAGUUUUAUUUGAGACGACUGUACAACCAUCAAGAUUAAUUGUCAGAUUCAACAGAAGAUCUUUGUUUCUUGGGACCUAGAACAAGCAUCUCUGUUUUGUCUGAGUUUAAAAGUAGAAAGUUUGCAGCCAUCCACUUCCUUAUGUCUGAAACACAGGCUUCUAGCGAGGGCAAUUUUGGGGCUUCACCAUGUUUCAUUGAAAUGUACAGCUAUGUGUCAUCCGCAUAGCAGUAAAAGUUAACAUUAUGUUUUCGAAUGACAUCCCCAAGAGGUAAAAUAUAUAGUGAAAAUAAGUGGUCCUAAAACGGAACCUUGAGGAACACCGAAAUUACUCAGAGAGAGUAGUGCUCCUUAAGGUAACUAACUUUGGCCUUCUGGAUAGCCUGAGUGCAUUUAUUUCUCAUUUGCCUGAACGACACCCAGUCAGAAUGUCUGUCUUUGGUCUGUCUUUUGCCUUUCACCAAAUGCAAUUCUUGAGGUGGAGUAACUCUGCAAGAUCACGGUCAAUCCAGAGGCUGAAACCUGUUUUAAUUCUCAUUUUCUUCAUGGGGGCGUGUUUGUUAACAAUACCACUGAAAAUAUCAAAAAAGAAGGUCCAAGAAUCUUCGACAGAGGGGGUCAAGCUGAUUCUAUACAAUUUCUAUAGAAAGGAUCAUCAACUAGAUUCAGCCACAGGCUGAUUUUUCCUUGAGAGGAUGGUCAGGGGGCCAGAAUAUAAUUACAAAUUAUUUGUAGACUGCAAAUUGACUGCAAGAAGUCCAAAAAUAUAUAAUAUUUGACUAAAAUGUAAUCAUUUCAAACCUUGCUUAUAUUUGUAUAUGACCACAUAUUCAGUAAGCUCCAGCAGUGUUGGGACAGUGUCACAUGUUAUUGUUGUUUUGGUUCUGUACUCCAGCACUUUGGAUUGGAAAUAAUACAUUGCAGACUGUCAGCUUUAAUUAGAGGGUAUUUUUAUCCAUAUCAGGUGAACGGUUUCGAGAUUACAGCACUUUUUGGACAUAUUCUCCUCAUUUUAGGGGACCAAAAGUAUUGGGACAAAUUCCCUUAUGUGCAUUAAAGUAGAAAAACAGAAGUAUUUGAUCCCAUAUUCAUAGCAAUCAAUGACUACAUCAAGUUUGUGACUCUACAAACUUGUUGGAUUAAGUUUGUGUACGUUCUGUUUCAAAUUAUGUUGUGCCCAUUUAGAAAUCAAUGGUAAAUCAUGUAUUGUGUCAUUUUGGUGUAACUUUUAUUAUAAAUAAGAAAUGAAUAUAUUUCUAAACACUUCUACAUUAAUGUUGAUGCUACCAUGAUUAGGGAAUGACUUGUGAUGACUUAUACCACCGCAAAAAAAUUCUAACCUCCCCUGUUAUUGUAAUGAUGAGAGGUUAGCAUGUCUUGAGGGUAUGAUAUAACAUGCUAACCCCUACCUGUUAUUGUAACGAUGAGAGGUUAGCAUGUCUUGAGGGUAUGAUAUUUGUGCGUUUUG